ensembl:lincRNA 2010308F09Rik uncharacterized LOC110287288
AACAGAGGCCUCAAAGCUCUGUGCUCUAUCCACCCUCCUUACACAAAGUGGUUAGUUGAGGCCUUUUCCUCUCCAGUGGCCUGACGAGGCAUCCUCAGAGACUGUGCUCCAUACCAGUUGUUCCUGAAAAACUCUUUGGCUGAGUGCUCACCACAUAGCUGAGAAGAGAACAGGAAACAGAAGUGGGGCCUGAUACAGAACUGCAACUCCUAUUAAUGGCCGUGAAGUGUCCAGGAUGUCAUAAAAUCAACCCAGUCUUCAGCCAUAAACAAAAGGCAGUCUCGUGUGUUGGCUGCUGUACUGCCCUGUCAGCCUACAGAAGAAAAAGCAAGGCUGUCUGCGCCUGCAGGACACAGCAUUCAAAGCACCUUGGUUCAAGAUGAGUGGGGAAUUAUCCUAAUAAAUACAUCAUGAAUUAAAAAAGAACAGCAUUGCUUCAAAUGAGAUAAAUUUUAAAUAUAUAUAUUGGU